rnacentral:tRNA from 1 species
UAGCUCAGCUGGAUAGAGUACUCGGCUACGAACCGAGCGGUCGGAGGUUCGAAUCCUCUG